rnacentral:rRNA from 1 species
GAUGGCGACCGGCGCACGGGUGCGCAACGCGUAUGGAACCUGCCUUUGCCAGGGGAAUAGCCCAGGGAAACUUGGAUUAAUGCCCCAUUGUACCCGGGGGUCGCAUGAUUUCCGGGUUAAAGAUUUAUCGGGCGAAGAUGGCCAUGCGUACCAUUAGCCUGUUGGUAGGGUAACGGCCUACCAAAGCUACGAUGGUUAGGGGCCCUGAGAGGGGGAUCCCCCACACUGGUACUGAGACACGGACCAGACUCCUACGGGAGGCAGCAGUGAGGAAUAUUGGACAAUGGGCGGAGGCCUGAUCCAGCCAUGCCGCGUGCAGGAAGAAUGCCCUAUGGGUAGUAAACUGCUUUUGUACGGGAAGACACCCGCCUACGUGUAGGCGUUCGACGGUACCGUAAGAAUAAGGACCGGCUAACUCCGUGCCAGCAGCCGCGGUAAUACGGAGGGUCCGAGCGUUAUCCGGAAUUAUUGGGUUUAAAGGGUCCGUAGGCGGGCCGUUAAGUCAGGGGUGAAAGUCCGCGGCUCAACCGUGGGACCGCCCUUGAUACUGAUGGUCUUGAGUAAUCGUGGAGCAGGCGGAAUAUGUAGUGUAGCGGUGAAAUGCAUAGAUAUUACAUAGAACACCUAUCGCGAAGGCAGCUUGCUAACGAUUCACUGACGCUGAUGGACGAAAGCGUGGGGAGCGAACAGGAUUAGAUACCCUGGUAGUCCACGCCGUAAACGAUGGAUACUAGCUGUGCGGUCCCUUUGGGACUGUGCGGCCAAGCGAAAGUGAUAAGUAUCCCAUCUGGGGAGUACGUUCGCAAGAAUGAAACUCAAAGGAAUUGACGGGGGCCCGCACAAGCGGUGGAGCAUGUGGUUUAAUUCGAUGAUACGCGAGGAACCUUACCAGGGCUUGAAUGC